rnacentral:sRNA from 1 species
GAGCAGGCACUCCCGGCGCGGGGGGCAACCACGGCGCUCAGGAGGCCCUGAGUCCAGCACCUGGCCAUGUGCAACCCUGAGGAGGCAGCUCUGCUGCGGCUGGAGGAGGUCUUCUCAGCCACCCUUGCCCGUGUCAACAGCCUUGUCCUCCAGCCCCUGCUCCCAGCCGCCCCAGAGCCCUUGGAUCCCUGGGGCAGAGAGUGCCAGAGGCUCUUGCAACAGCUGCACAAGAGCUCCCAGAAACUCUGGGAGGUGACGGAGGAAAGUCUGCACUCACUGCAGGAGAGGCUGCGUCACCCGGACUGCACCGGUCUGGAGUCCCUGCUGCUGCUGCGAGGUGCUGACCGUGUACUGCAGGCCCACAUAGAGUACAUCGAGUCCUACACAAGCUGCAUGGUGGUGCAGGCCUUCCAGAAGGCAGCAAAGAGGAGAAGCGAGUACUGGCGGGGCCAGCGGAAGGCGCUGCGGCAGCUGCUGUCAGGUGUGAGCUCAGAGGGCUCGGUGGGCGCAUCGCUGGGCCAGGCCCUCCACCAGCCACUCGCCCAUCACGUCCAACAGUACGUGAUCCUCCUGCUGAGCCUCGGGGACACCAUUGGGGAGCGUCACCCAACCCGGGAGCUGGUGGUGAACGCAGUCACCCUCUUUGGGAACCUGCAGUCCUUCAUGCAGCAAGCGUUGGACCAGGCUGCAGCCACACAGGCUCUCUGGCACACCCUGAGAGGCCGACCGAGGGAUGUGCUCUGCACCCCUGAUCACAGACUCCUUCAGGACAGCCAGGACGUACCCGUGACGGUCGCACCGUUGCGGGCUGAGCGUGUACUGCUCUUUGAUGAUGCCCUCGUCCUGCUGCAGGGCCACAACGUCCACACCUUUGAUCUGAAGCUGGUGUGGGUGGAUCCUGGGCAGGACGGGUGCACGUUUCACCUCCUCACGCCCGAAGAAGAGUUCUCCUUUUGUGCCAAGGACUCCCAGGGCCAGGCAGUCUGGCAGUGGAAGGUGACCCAGGCUAUUCACCAGGCCCUGCGUGGGAAGAAGGACUUCCCUGUGCUGGGGGCUGGCCUGGAGCCCUCCCAGCCUCCCGCCUGCCGCUGCGCAGAAUAUACCUUCCAGGCAGAGGGCCGGCUCUGCCAGGCCACCUACGAGGGCGAGUGGUGCAGGGGCCGGCCCCACGGCAAGGGAACUCUGAAAUGGCCGGAUGGGCGGAAUCAUGUGGGGAAUUUCUGCCAGGGCCUGGAGCAUGGCUUCGGCAUCCGCCUGCUGCCCCAGGCCUCUGAGGACAAGUUCGACUGUUACAAGUGCCACUGGCGAGAAGGCAGCAUGUGUGGCUACGGCAUCUGUGAGUACAGCACCGACGAGGUGUACAAGGGCUACUUCCAGGAGGGUCUGCGGCACGGAUUUGGGGUCCUUGAGAGUGGUCCGCAGGCCCCCCAGCCCUUCAGGUACACGGGCCACUGGGAGAGGGGCCAGAGGAGCGGCUAUGGCAUUGAGGAGGAUGGUGACAGGUGAGCACCCUGCAACCACCACUCCCAGGACAGAGGGGUGGACAGGGCCCUCACAGACCAGAUUGUUGCAGGACACAGGCUCCUGUGUGUCCCCCACUGUGUCUCUCUUAAGCCCCUCACUUCCCCUCCAGUCCCUUGGUUGCCACGGAGGCUCAGGCUGAGGGAAUCUUGGUCACGCUGACUGCAGGGUCACCCCCGCCCCUCACCCCUUCUCAUGGUGUUGGAGAGGCAUUUCUGACCCCCUGCUCUGUCACGUCUAAAAACUGUAGCCCUUGCUGGCUCUCUGGGCUGUGUGAUAAAGCCCUGGAUCCUUGGCCUGGCAAUCACGGCCUCGUCUGCUUCUCUGACCUCACCCCAGCUGCGUCUCCUGUGCACCCCUCCAGCCUUUCUGGACCACUGAAGUCCCCACGUAUCCAUCAUGUGCUCCUACCUCCACGGCUUUGCACACACUCCUAUUCCACCUGUCCUUCCUGCCACCUCCACGGAGAAGCCUCCCAGAUGCCCUUCCCAGGCUGCCUCCCUCCCUCCUCCACUCUUUGUUCCUCUUGGGGGUCCUGACCUCUCUGGCACUGUGUCUGUUGAGUGGAUUCAGGUGAUGUCACUGCCCCUUAUCUGCACUCCCUGCCGCUCUGUGCCAGCAGAGUGCCCAGGAGGUACAUGGGAAUGAGUCUGAUCCAACUCUGGCCACAUUCCUCUCCCUCCAGAGGUGAGCGCUACAUUGGCAUGUGGCAGGCUGGUCAGCGCCACGGCCCAGGGGUCAUGGUCACCCAGGCAGGCGUCUGCUACCAGGGCACCUUCCAGGCGGACAAGACGGUGGUGAGUGGAGUAUGUCCUGGGCUAUCCCUCUCUUUGCACCCCACUCCCGCUGGGGGCCCUGAGGCUGAGCUGAGGCCUUUCAGGGAGGGAUGGGAAAGGGGGCUGUGUUCCUGGGUGCCGGAGGAAGCCAGAACCUCGGCAGGAAGCCAGCUCUACCACCCACUUCCCCUGGCCCUGGCCAAUCCCUGCUCUGCCUGACCUUAGUUUCCCCAUCAGCAACUCAGGUUAAGAAUACUUACCAUAGACUCAAUGAACUAGCAAGAAUGGAGCACUUACUCAUGAUGAUGCAUUAGCUGACAUUCAUAGAGUCCUAACUUGACACCUGGCUCUGGGCUAAGCUCCCACUCUGAUCUUGUGGGAUCCUCCCAAGAGCCCUGCAGGUUGAUGUCAUUAUUAUCCCCAGUGUGUCCCUAGUGAAUGACAAAUGAGAGGUUCAGAGGGAUCAGAGGACCUGCUCCAUGUCACCUUCACUGAGUGGCAGAGCUGACACUCACACCCUGGUCUGCUAAGCCUGGCCACCAAGCCUGGGACUCCCACGUUUGCCUCACCCACACCCUUCCAGGUGCCUGGGGAAUGUGGGGCUCUGGCCUGAUGGCUGUUCUUGUUAUUAUGGUCUGUUGGUUUGUUUAUGCUCUACUUCAUUCUAGAAAGGAUUGAAGGAGGCCUUUGAGGAAAGAGGAAGACAAGGGGAAGAAUAAGUACACAAAAUAGAUUUGGAAAUAAGCUGAACACUAAUUGUAUCCCUUUUGGCUCUGAGCUUCCUAGCAGCCCAUGGGGCAAGGGAGCCUGGUCAGCUCUGCCGUUCCCAGGGCCAGUGACAAGCAGGGAAGCAGGGAUGUUUCAGAGAAAGCCCCACAUUUCUUGAGCUCCCAAGGGCUUCCUGAAGAAGCCGCUGGGGUGAGGAGCCAGGGCGGAGGGUGUUAUUUGGGGAAAUCCAGGAAUGGGGUCCUUGGGGCUGGUGCUCAGCAGGCCAAAGGCUAGAGUCCCAAUUAGGUACAGUCCUGUGGGGCGUGAUGAGGCUCAGGGACCCUCUCCCCAUGUGUCAGGGCACACCUCCCUUCUUUGGCCAUCUCUCUCCAUCCCGAGUUUCCUGGCCCUUCCUCACCCACCGCUUCUACCCUCCCUGGCUUCCUCUCCCCAAGGGCCCAGGCAUCCUCCUCUCUGAAGACGACUCCCUGUAUGAGGGCACCUUCACCAGGGACCUGACCCUCAUGGGGAAGGGCAAGGUCACCUUCCCCAAUGGCUUCACCCUAGAGGGCUCAUUUGGCAGUGGAGCAGGGAGAGGACUGCACACACAGGGUGUGCUGGACACGGCUGCCCUCCCACCGGACCCGAGCAGCACCUGCAAGAGGCAGCUGGGCGUGGGUGCCUUUCCCGUGGAAAGCCGCUGGCAGGGAGUCUACAGCCCCUUCCGGGACUUUGUGGGUGCUGGUUGCCCCAGGGACCUGCAGGAGGCCCUGCUGGGCUUCGACGUGCAGAGCUCCAGGGAGCUGCGUAGGUCUCAGGAUUACCUGUGUUGUGAGAGGACCCACCCCGAGGACAGUGUGGGCGGUAUGGAAGACAUCCUGGAGGAGCUGCUGCAGCACCGGGAGCCCAAGGCCCUGCAGCCAUACCUCAGGAAGGCUCUGAGCAACUCACUGCACCCCCUGGGAAAGCUGCUCCGGACACUGAUGCUGACCUUCCAGGCUACCUACGCAGGUGUCGGGGCCAAUAAGCACCUGCAGGAGCUGGCCCAGGAGGAGGUGAAGCAGCAUGCCCAGGAACUCUGGGCUGCCUACAGGUGAGCUCCGUGGCAAACGGGACAGCUACUGCCCUGUGACACUAGUGUGCCCUUUCCAGGCAUCAGUUCUGCCUUGCAUUUGGGAGGAAUGCCAAGUGUCUGAUUCAACAACGAACCAGAGGCUUGGUCAGUGUGCAGCUGCUGAGCAAAAGGGUUAGAGGGUGGGGAGGUGAGAGCAAAGGCCCAGUUGCAGCCCUCAGCUAGAGUCCAAGACCCAACCAGGCCCUGGGCUGACUCUGACCCCAGGGGCACUCUCACCCCACUGUAGGCUGAGCUUGGCCCUGGACUCGGAACACACCUGCAGUCCCAGGUUGGGCUGUGACCCCAUGAAACACUGCAAAUAGAAGCCUUAGAUACUAUAGUUCCUUCUGCUGCUGGAUUCUCAGGAUAACAUCCUGGAGCUCCAGCCUUCUAACUUCUGUGGUUUGAGAGGAUGAACCCUGCAGGCCAUGUCCACAGUUCUGAGAGGCCACCUGCUCUUGCCUUUGUUGACUGGUGGUGGAGCUCCAGUUCUGUGGGAAGUGGCAGCCACACCAUUUCUCUCUCAUUGACUCACAGGGGUCUGCUGCGAGUUGCCUUAGAGCACAAGGGCCAGGCCCUGGAGGAGGAUGAAGACACAGAGACAAGGUGACUGGCGCAGGUCUCCUUGGGGCCUGCCGAGUCCAGGGAGGCCUCAUGCGCCUGCUCCUAGGACCUCCCUUGGGAAAAGAGGUGCUUCUGGGGAAGUGCUGGGCAUUCACUCUAUUGACCAAGCAUUGUGCAUUGAUCGUUUGUGGAUUAGAAUGACCCAUGACCUCUGUUCUGUGAGGAACCAGGGAUGGGGCACUGCUACAAUGCAUUGAAUGCAUCUUUGUUCUAAAUGUAUGAUCCCAAUCUCAUCUUUCGCAUGCAGAAGGUGAGUAGCUUCCCGAGGCACCCUCCUCUCCCUGCACACAGAUGGGGAAACCGAGGGCUGGCAGGGAUGAGCCUGAGGUUAUACAGGAGUUAGGUGGGUCAUGAAAUCUGUCUCCCCCAGUCCCUGGAGCAAACCUUAUAAUUCGCCUUUAGAUUCCAGACCUGAAAGUGUUCCUGAUCAGAGAGGCAUUCCUGUCACUGCAUUGCAGGAGGCAAGGGAAAUGGAGUUAGACAUUAGGGAGAACUCCCCGCCCGGAGUCCUAGCACAGCAAACCAGGAGGUGGAACUGAAUCAGCCUGGAAUGGCUGCUGAGAGCUUGGCUGCAAGUUGCUGGUCCAUCUGGGGCCCUGGUUUUGCUUUCAGUCCAAUGGGGAUCCAACUCCUGCCCCACCUGCCAUCUUGGUUGUCAAAGUCAAAGGAGGGAAUGAAGUUAUGAAUUGAAUUGGGCAAAUGAUGAGUGAGAACAGGCUUGGAAAAGGUUUUCUGGGGAGGAGGAGGCUGGAGGCUGGGACACUGUUUGUUGUGGAACUAGGAGCUCUUUGAGAGGAGACUCCAAGUAGUAAUCCCAGACCCCACCUUGCUCAUCCCAACCUGUUCUGGUCUCUCCAUCAGGGACCUCCAGGUGCAUGGAUUGGUGUUGCCCCUCAUGCUGCCCAGCUUCUACUCAGAGCUCUUCACGCUCUACCUGCUGCUUCAUGAGCGGGAGGACAGCUUCUACAGCCAGGGCAUUGCCAACUUGAGCCUCUUUCCCGAUACCCAACUGCUUGAGUUCCUGGAUGUGCAGAAGCACUUGUGGCCCCUCAAGGACCUCACGCUGACGAGCAAUCAGAGGUACUCCCUGGUCAGGGACAAGUGUUUCCUGUCAGCCACCGAGUGCCUGCAGAAGAUCAUGACCACGGUGGACCCACGGGAGAAGCUGGAGGUGCUGGAGAGGACAUACGGGGAAAUUGAGGGCACAGUGUCACGGGUGCUGGGCCGGGAGUACAAGCUGCCCAUGGACGACCUGCUGCCGCUUCUCAUCUACGUGGUGUCACGCGCCCGAAUUCAGCACCUGGGAGCCGAGAUCCAUCUGAUCCGUGACAUGAUGGACCCCAACCACACAGGAGGCCUGUAUGACUUCUUGCUCACUGCCCUGGAGUCCUGUUACGAGCACAUCCAGAAAGAAGACAUGAGGCUGCACCGCUUACCUGGCCACUGGCACUCCAGAGAGCUCUGGUAGCUUGGCCUUUCCUGGACAGACUGCAGAGCUGAGCGGGGCACUGCCGGCCCGUCCCUCAUUACCCAAGGCAAGGGGCAGGACAGGCCCUUGGAAGCAGCUCUUGGAGGAGAUGAGCAUUUUGUUUUGCACAGGAAGAUGCUGCUGCUGCCCUGACUGGGAUGAGAGUGAGGGGUGAUGGGUGUGGCCCUGGACAUGGUGGUUUUCCCUUGGCCACUAGCCCAUCUCCAAUGACCCCUUAAUCUGCAGCAGCUCACAGGCUGAGGGUGAGGAGCCCCUGGCUUCUCUUAGCCUGAGCCUUUCUCCCAAGUUCCGGAGCCUCUCUGGGCCUCAGUGCUGCCAUCUGUACAAUGGUGGAGUGAGUACGCUGUAAAGGACCUUCCAUCCA